AAAGCUUGAAAAUUUGGAAGAUCUCACAUGUGGCAAAGUAUAGCAUGUCUACUUAUCUAUUUGCUUAAUUAUUCAAACUCCAACGAAAUAAUGAUUCUUGAAAAUCAGUUAUAGUAGAUUCAAUGAAUAUGAAUUCAAAUUUUUGUGAUACAUGUUUGAUUUUAGAUCCUCACAAUCAUAUCGUACUAUAAUAUUUUAGUUGGUUAAUUAUUCUAUUUUUAAUUAAAUCUAUUUCAUUUCAUUGAGAAGUAUUGAAAAUAUAUAUGAGCUCAAGAUAAAUAGUUAGUUUUAUCUCUAAAUUAGUGAUAAUCGUAAAAACACUAUUCUAUUUGGCUAAUUAGACUUAGAUACAACAUCGAUCUACCAUAUACAUAACAAAUGCUCUCAAACUUUUCCACUUUGGCUAUUAAACUUAGAUACAACGUAGAUCUGCCACAUACAUAACAAGUGAUCCAAAACUUUUAUAAAAGCACAAUACUCUUAACAAAAAUCGUGAAAAAAGUGUUAAAAACACCCCUAAACUUGGAGAUAAUUUAAGGAUGUAACUCGUUCAUGUUUAAAUCUAGUUUGUCAAGAAAACAUUUUUAAAACUGUCAAUACGAAAAAUGAAACUAAUAAUUCACAUUAAAUUUAAGAGUAUUUUUAAUACGAAACGUCUUUGACGUAUACUACAAAGUAAAAUCGUUGUGUAACCUUCAACAAAUAUAUAUGUUAUUUCUCAAAAGCAAGAGCAGCAUUAAAGUCUUUUCAAGGAAAAAAAAAAGUGAUUGAAGUAAAUUAUAUACACAGAAAAAGAAAAUAUACAAAAUAUGUUUAAAGAGGAUCAUAAUAUUUUUUUUUCUUUCUUUCUAAUCUUUAGCUGCAACAACAUUCUUUUGGUUCUUUAGUUUCUGUAUCCCCCUUUUCUGGUGUGGUCCUUGAGAAAACAUACAAAAAAUAAUGAUUUAUCAACUUUGGCGUUUUAUUCAGCAAUUGCACCAUUCUUGUGCUUCACAUUCAAACACUGGAAUUAUUGCACUUCCAAGCAACCACGCCGCGGCUGCUAGCACUGUUGAACAAAUGCAAACACGAAAUUUAGAAGCCAGAAGAACAUAUUGAAGGUAAUAACAACUUGGUACUACAAACACAUUCUUUGACAUGCUAUGAUACUUGAAUUUCUAAAACAACAGUGUACCAUAUAUGUGUGAACUUUUUUUCAUCUGUUCUACUCUUUUUGAUUAUGUGUUAUAAACCACUGAAGUCUAGCAACAUCGAACAUCCUCUUCCCUUUAUGUAAAAGCUGAUUGUAAGCUUAAAAGAGAAGGUUACGCCACAAUCACUAUGAAUUCCUUUUGGUAAUUAACUAACUGCAUGACCAGCUUAAAGACAUGCAGUUAACAAAGCAUAAACAGUACUUGAAUUUAACUCUCGGACGACUAAAAACAAGAUUUUAAGAUACAAGGUCCAAUGCAAUUGACGAAUCGUAGAGUGAACUGACAGAAGUUCCGUCUGCGACGUUUUUAACACGAUAUGCAAUUAAAACCUUGUUAUCUUUGAUAAUUGUGAAAAGACUUAUAAAUGCUAGAUUGUGAAUUUGAACUUCUGCAAGGAAAGAGGUAGAGCCAAACCUCAAAGAUGAGUCAUUCACAAGCAAUUUUAGUGUCAAAGCUGCUAAGGCAUAUGGCGAAUGCCUGGAAUGCUGAUAGUGGGUAGCGGUAAUCCAUUGUAAACAUGUCCUUCCCUACUUUACCGAAUUGCAAAAUAACCUUCUCAUGUUCUGGUCCAGCCGCACCAUUCUCUGGAGAAGCUACCAACUGAAAGUUCUUCACCGAGGCGACGGUUACCCGACCAUGAAAGUUCAAACACCAGCAUUGGAGCUGUUCAUGCCAUCUGGGAGCCUUAUUUUUCAGAACCAGUGAACCUUCUCUUUGAGUU
rnacentral:lncRNA from 1 species